ensembl:lncRNA
GUAAAGUGAAAUCCCCGAGAGAGGAGCCCCUCCAUUCAACAGCCGGCUAAUGGGAGGUCAGAACAGGAUCCUUGUAUCUUGUAACGCUUGAGCGGUAGUCAUAUGCUUCCGCCAUAGUGACUCAUAAAGUUGAAAAGAACUGUGACUAAUAUGACUCAAUGUGUAAACAUAAUGGACAAACCAAAGCGCAUUGAAAAUCUCCCUUCUGUUUAAUCAAGGAGCAGCAAGGACCCAGUGACAGUUGUGUUGGCAGAGGGGAAUGAACUGACCUACUUUUAUAAUGAUGGAGUCUUGAUGGAGCUGAAGCAUAAAUAAAUGAAUAUAUUGAGUUUACAGAUUGGGUAGUGGCCUCUAUAGAGAAAACACAGGGUUAUGAAGAAACCGUAGGAGGAACAAUGGCUCGAAAAAGGACACCCGUCCUCCUCUGCUCGACUUGGAACUCAAUUUGUCCUCCUGCACAGUUUUGGCAAGAAAAAGCCAUCUGAAGGCAUAAAUAUACAUUGAGCAUCAGUCUGUGGUUUAUGGCAGAGAACCUACGCAACAAACAACAAACGUCUACGUAUUACAGCAAAAGCCUACGCUAAAAGGAAAUCGCACACUUAUACGUAGAUAUGUUUAUUUGUGUUGCCAUUGUGGGCCGCUCUCACGCUGAACUACAGGCCUGAGAGGAAGUUUCCAGUGCGGUUACCAUGACGAGGGUCUUGGAGUACAGGAAGUUCAGUGCUAAGAGAAAUGACAUCCGAGAGGGACGCAGACAAACAUUUGUCCAGAUGAGCUGGGGUAACAGGAUUGUGUUUGGACAGGAGCUUCUCUCCGCAGGGAACAAGGCAAAACAAAGAAAAGCCCCCUCGGCUGGAGAGAGAGAGAGGGAUGGAAUGAGAAAGAGAGCUAGUGAAACAGUGAGUCAUGAGUGCAGCUUUGAACAACAAGGGGAAAUCCUCCUAUUGAGAGGCAUGUGCUAUGGAAACACAUCACUCAUAGAGGAUCAGACCUGAGGUGAUUCCCUGUGUUUUUUGGAGGGCUUUGGUUUAAAGAUGAGCUUUUGAAACACUCUGGAAUCCUUGUCAGGAUGUUUUCUUGCUUCCUACUGAACAGCCUCAGGACACAAGCUUAACAUGCACUGACGUGUGUGUUCAACCCUCCUACAGAUGUUGCAACUUUUGUUCUUAGUGUUCAUAAUAUUAAGUGUGUGAAAUUUAAUGGUUGACGAUAAAGAUUUUAAAAACACAUUUGCUUACUGAAACAUUUUUUCUAUGAAAUUUGAUCUGUUUCAGCCACAGACCCUUAAGAAUUAUCAAGUUGUUUGACUGAAACUUAAACGUGAAACUAACUGGGAGCAGUUUCUUUUUCCAGAUCUCGUCUCUUUUGUAAUAGUCUCGCUUUCGCCGCUUUCGUCUACAACUUCAGAAUGGAUCAGGGGCCAGUUGUGUAGAUGUCAGCACAUUUACAUGUUAGACUGGAUGCUGAAUUCACAAUGCAGACUGUCAGGAGACAAACUUUGCUUAAAUUCUUUCCAAAGCAUCCAUGACCCAACAGGUUUAAGCACAAAAGAUAAAAGGAGAGUAAGCAAUGGAGGUCCAAAACCCGUUUUGACACUUGUUGCAAAACCGUCAGUGCUCAGCCUGGACUUGCUUCUUUUUCUGAGGGAAGCGAUAAAGGUCACCAGAAGUCCAAAUGCUGUAUUAUUACAAUUUAAACAUGUUUAAAAUAUACUUUAUUCCUGUCAUGACAAAGCUGAUUUUUCAGCAUCAUUACUCCAGUCAGUUCAGUGUCACAUGAUCCUUCAGAAAUAAUUUUAAUAUGCUGAUUUGCUGCUCAAGUGCUUAUUAUGAUCAAUGUUGAAAACAGUUGAGCUGCUUCAUAUUUUUUUUGAAACGUUUAAUUUUUUCCUGAUAAAUAGAUAGAAAAUGAAAGCAUUUAUUUUAAAUUGAAAUCUUUCAUCCUUUUAUAAUUGGCACUUUUGACAAAUGUUUGCUGCAUAAAAGCAUUAAUUUCUUUAUUGAAAAAUAUCUCUAAAUAGGCACCAUUUAUCAAAUACAAAAAUAUUUUUAGACAUUUUAUUUAACAUUAAAUUAAUUGUACAUCUGUGCUACUCUUCAAGAGCCAACUAGGACAACGAGUCAAAUAUUUACCCACAGUGCCUGUGGCAUCAUUUUUGAAUACUAGUAUGAAUUUGACUUUCAAAUAUUCAUUCAGAUAAUGGCUUAAUUUUAAUUUAAUUAAACGAGAAAGGAUGGGCCCUUUGACGCAUAUGGUGGGAAAAGAGAGAAAUGCAUUAAACCAAAUCAGCAGUUUUUUUACCAAUCACACUAAAGUAUAUGGUUUAUGCUUCAUAAUUUGGUUCACUAUAAAACAAGUUUUAAGCAUAAAGGUUCAGUUAUGGGUUUCAUGUGGGGCAAGUUUGUGCUCAGUGUUUCAAUGCGGUAACUCCUACACUUCAGUGUUUUAUUGACCCACUGCAAUCAGGGCCUUUAGACUUUCAACAAAUGUCAACCCUGCCACCCCCUCACCUUGACCCAAAUUCCAUCACUCAAACAUUCCUGCUUUUCUUUAAAGGUUUUAUUCUUGUGCAACUCUGUGUGUGCCAGCAAUUUCUCCGGUGAAGAAACCACACCUUGAAAUCGUUAAGUUGAUGUUAUUCUGAUGUGAUUUUCUGCAUUGUGCCAGUAGAAAAAAGAUCCAAACAACAUGUCAUCUUGCUCAUUCUUUAUUACUUUAUAAAACAAAGUGCAGUUGAAGAUGAACAGAACCUUUUUUUUUUUUUUCAAAAACCUGCAAAUGAACCAAGAAGAAAAAGCCUAAAUAAUUUAUAAUACAUAAUUAAAAGGUGGUAUUUACAUGGAAAAAAAAAAACAAAAAAACAUUCUAUACAGUUGCCAUUAUGAAGGCAAUAAAAUAGCCAGGUUUCUUCCUGGUAGAGGUAGA